rnacentral:rRNA from 1 species
UACGGAGGGGACUAGCGUUGUUCGGAAUUACUGGGCGUAAAGCGCACGUAGGCGGAUUUGUAAGUCAGGGGUGAAAUCCCGGGGCUCAACCUCGGAACUGCCUUUGAUACUGCAAAUCUCGAGUCCGGAAGAGGUGAGUGGAAUUCCUAGUGUAGAGGUGAAAUUCGUAGAUAUUAGGAAGAACACCAGUGGCGAAGGCGGCUCACUGGCCCGGUACUGACGCUGAGGUGCGAAAGCGUGGGGAUCAAACAGGG